GGUGUCACAUUGAUCAACACAUCAGAGGGAUUCACCUUCCUGGAAACCACUGUCAGCGCGCUCGGUGCAGGAGUCGGAUUCACUCUCGUUCUCGCGAUCAUGUCGGGAAUUCGGGAGCGACUGGAACUUGCUGAUUCGCCAGAUGCUUUUAGAGGAUUGCCAACUGCCUUCCUGGUGGCUAUGCUGCUGGGGAUCUGUUUCCUUGCUUUCGGGGGGAUGGUGUAGAUGGACCCUGAUGCGAUCAUUAUCAUCGUAUUCCUGACCCUUAUCGG
rnacentral:rRNA from 1 species